rnacentral:rRNA from 1 species
CACACUGGGACUGAGACACGGCCCAGACUCCUACGGGAGGCAGCAGUGGGGAAUCUUGCACAAUGGGCGAAAGCCUGAUGCAGCAACGCCGCGUGAGGGACGAAGGCUUUCUGAGUUGUAAACCUCUUUCAGCAGGGACGAUAAUGACGGUACCUGCAGAAGAAGCCCCGGCCAACUACGUGCCAGCCGCCGCAGUAACAC